GAUGAACGCUAGCUACAGGCUUAACACAUGCAAGUCGAGGGGAAACGAUAUUGGAAGCUUGCUUCCGAUAGGCGUCGACCGGCGCACGGGUGAGUAACGCGUAUCCAACCUGCCCACCACUUGGGGAUAACCUUGCGAAAGUAAGACUAAUACCCAAUGAUAUCUCUAGAAGACAUCUGAAGGAGAUUAAAGAUUUAUCGGUGAUGGAUGGGGAUGCGUCUGAUUAGCUUGUUGGCGGGGUAACGGCCCACCAAGGCGACGACCAGUAGGGGUUCUGAGAGGAAGGUCCCCCACAUUGGAACUGAGACACGGUCCAAACUCCUACGGGAGGCAGCAGUGAGGAAUAUUGGUCAAUGGGCGAGAGCCUGAACCAGCCAAGUAGCGUGCAGGAUGACGGCCCUAUGGGUUGUAAACUGCUUUUAUAAGGGAAUAAAGUGAGUCUCGUGAGACUUUUUGCAUGUACCUUAUGAAUAAGGACCGGCUAAUUCCGUGCCAGCCGCCGCCGUAA
rnacentral:rRNA from 1 species